GCCCGCUCAGAAACUUAAAGGAAGUUGACGGGGGCCCGCACAAGCGGUGGAGCAUGUGGUUUAAUUCGAUGAUACGCGAGGAACCUUACCUGGGCUCAAAUGUAUGUUGACGUAUUCUGAAAGGGAUACUUCUUCGGACAAUAUACAAGGUGCUGCAUGGUUGUCGUCAGCUCGUGCCGUGAGGUGUCGGGUUAAGUCCCAUAACGAGCGCAACCCCUAUCAUUAGUUGCCAUCAGGUCAAGCUGGGGACUCUAAUGAAACUGCCUACGCAAGUAGUGAGGAAGGUGGGGAUGACGUCAAAUCAGCACGGCCCUUACGUCCAGGGCUACACACGUGCUACAAUGGCCGAUACAGAGGGCAGCUACCUGGUGACAGGAUGCAAAUCUCCAAAGUCGGUCUCAGUUCGGAUCGGAGUCUGCAACCCGACUCCGUGAAGUUGGAUUCGCUAGUAAUCGCGCAUCAGCCAUGGCGCGGUGAAUACGUUCCCGGGCCUU
rnacentral:rRNA from 1 species